UGCUGGUGCUUGUCAGAAGCUGGUAUC
rnacentral:piRNA from 1 species